rnacentral:rRNA from 1 species
AAGUGUUAAUUUGGGAUCACUAUUAUUUGAUUGAAGUGGGUUCUAGUUAAUUUACUUUGUAGUAAAUUAGAGUGUUCAAAGCAGCCUCUUGGGGCUUUGAAUAGAUUUAGCAUGGGAUAAUAGAAUAGGAUUUGAUAAUCUAUUUGUUGGUUUGAAUUAAUCAAAUAAUGAUUAAUAGGGACAGUUGGGGGCAUUCAUAUUAAAUGGUCAGCGGUGAAAUGUGUGGACCCAUUUAAGAUGAACUAAAGCGAAAGCAUUUGCCAAGGAUGUUUUCAUUAAUCAAGAACGAAAGUUAAGGGAUCGAAGACGAUUAGAUACCGUCGUAGUCUUGACUGUAAACUAUGCCGACCAGGGAUAUGAGUAGGUUAUUUUGUUAGUUUUCGGACUAACAAUACUUCUCCUUAUGCACCUUGUGAGAAAUCAUAAGUUUUUUGGGUUCUGGGGGAAGUAUGGUCGCAAGGCC